AGGAAGUAGCGCUUCCGGGAGUGGAGAUGGCCGCGCUGGCCCCUCUGCCGCCGCUGCCCGCGCAGUUUAAGAGCAUACAGCACCAUUUGAGAACGGCGCAGGAGCAUGACAAGCGGGACCCCGUGGUGGCCUACUACUGUGAGUCCCUCCGAGUCCCCGUUCUCCCGCCCGGUUGCGCCCCGCGCCUCCCUCCGCUCUUGAGGCCCGCCCCGCCCCCUGGCUUCAGACCUGAGCCUUGACCUCUGGCUCGGCCAGGAGGACCCCAAGUACUAGACUCCCUCCACACCCGGACCCCCGUCUCUCCAGCUUAGAGCCUCGGACACGCCUCCCGGCUGUUCUUUCUUCUGGGAAUGAGAACCUCGAUAGUCAUAGGUUUCCCAGAGAUGGGUGGGAAGGGAGACUAACAGAAAACAUAACGAAAGCUGUGCAUUAAUCACGAGAGCUUUCAGGUCCCUUCCGAAACUCAGACGGUUCAGUGGACAGUGGCUACUACUGAAAAUUUGAAUUUGACUGUUCUUGACUUGUUUUCCGUACUCCUCAUUACCACCAGUAAGAAUUUGGAGUCAUCCUUUAGCUAUCCUGAAAGUUAAGAAGUUUAAUGCCAAUAUUCCUAGUUUGAGAUGUAUAUACUACUGAAGAGGACACAGUUUGAACUCCGUUCAGACAUGCAGAGUUGGUGAAGUGGAUAGGACUAGUAGUUUUAUGUAAACUAUGAUUUGAAUAUUAUACUCCUAUCUUUGUUGCAAGAAAUGACUGUACUCUGAGUUUCUAAAGAACUUUCAGAAUACAGAAAUGAUGUGUCCUCUGUUGUGGACAUUGUUAGCAAAAAUCUGGACCAAGUCAAGCCUUCCCUUGUGGACAUGUAUGUACCUCAUUUCUCAAAUGUGCAUGGAUGUCCCCCUACCACCACCAAUAAUUGCCAUUCUCCACUUGAUUUAUGAUCUGAAUUCCCACCUCUUCUGCAAGCCACUCGGUGGCUAUACUUCAUUUUUAUAAAAAUCAUACCAGUAUUGUUCCCACCAUUCUUGUUCUUUUGAUGAUCUUCAAACAUAUCCUAAUUAUUGAGCCUUUUUACCUAUUGACGAGCAUUCCUAAGUACUGGGAAAAAAAAACUAAAACCCAGCUCCUGUGGUCCUAGGACUACUGAGAGGAGGGGCGUUUGAACAGUACGCAUUUUAUAAUUUCAGGAACGGGCAUAGAAGUGCCACAGUACUGUAGAGGGGACCUCAUUUUCCUGUGUUCAGAAACACAUUGCUCAGUUGACAAUGGAAGCCAGACCUUUGUGCACAAUUGCUGAAGAAUAUACCUUUAAAAGGAACAAAAGUCUGAAGGUCCACAGAGAAGUUUAAAAGAGGAGGAGUGAGGAUUUGGAGAGUAUAGAGCCAGAGAGAAGUUGGAUACAACAAAGAGGCUGGCUCUGGACUGUGAACCAGGGCCCUUUGUUUCCCUCUAAGCCAAUCCUUAUUCAUGAACCUGUAACUGUGCACCUUUGUCACUACCCAGGAUCUUUUCCUUCCUGUGUCAUUGUGGUCAUUCCUGCCCUUUGUUCUAAGCUUGAUUCCCCUGUUUUCUUUGUUUAAAACAACAAGAACCAACCAAAC
rnacentral:lncRNA from 1 species